UCAAAGGCUUUGGAGUGAAUCAAAGUUAGUUAAUAUAGCAUGAUAGAUGAUCCAUUAACCUUAAGAAAAAAAAUUUCCUAAAUCAAGGAUCAAUAGAACAUGAAGGCUUUACAAACCUGUAUAUCCUUCAUGUGUAUCCUUAACUGGACAGAUAUCUGUUAUGUUGAACAUGAGUAUACUUCAUGUGUAUCCUUAACUGGACAGAUAUUUGAGCUGUACCCAAAAAUAAUUACUUCAUGAGUGUAUUUCAUUCAUGCUUUCAAAUUUGAGAAAUUAUUAUUUUUGAAAAGAUUUGACUACUUAAUUCAGAGCUCCAGUCAAAUCUAUUUUGAAUAAUGACUUUUCAAAAAAAAUUAUUUUUGAUUCUAAAGAAGUACCCAUAAGAUCAGUAUUCUGUUAUGUUGAACAUGAGUGUACUUCAUGUGUAUCCUUAACUGGACAGAUAUCCUUAAACUAAUAAGUUGGUGUUGUCCUUACUACAAGUUUGUUGGGUCUUUAGCCAACAUUUUUUAAGGCUCAAGUAUUAGUUUUAUUAGGAUUAGGAUCCCCUGUCAUCGAUCUCUGCAAUGGUCUUGUUGUGAUAAUAGAAUGAUUCAAAUUUAAAGUUAAAACAAAACGAUCUAAUUUUGGAAUGUGUAAUGGAUAUUAUUUUGCUUUUAAAUUCAUAUCAUUGGAUUAUAUUUUUUGUUGACAUGUCUACCAUAAUAAGAUAAUUGAAACAAAAGAAUAACGAAGGUUCAUUGAUUGUAUUGAAAUCGAUGAUUUCAGUAAGCGAUUUUUUUCAAUGUUGGUACACUUUUCCUACCCUAGAUGGCUUUGCUCAAGAGGUACAAGAGUUUUCUAGAAUAUCACAGCUGGGAAGCACACAUACUCUGAACUGGUGUUGGAAAACCCCUCCCUAGUUUGCACACCAAACAAGUUGCAUAUUAAUUUGGUGUGAACCCCCCUCAUCUUUUGACUCUAUCUAAACAUUCCAUGGCUAUCCACAUACAUAUACAUAUGUUAUUUAUAUAAUCAUCCAUGUUAAUCUUAUGUUAAUCAUUGUUCACUCUGCUUUAUGAUAUGGGAUAGGUAUCACCAAUCACGAGUGUGAUUGUUUAAUAUAUGCAUUACUCUUCAAUUAUUAACUAUCAUAUGUGACAAUGAUAUAGUCAUGUCACAAAUAAAUCUGGACUGUCCAUUUACAUGGAAUGAAUGACCCAUAUGUGUUUAUGAUAUUAGAAUAGAAUAACUUUUUUAUUAGACCCGUCGAUGACUUCAUUGAAUUACAUGAGCUUGCAAGAUGUUUAAUCAAACAUUUCUUGACAUAAUUGUUCACUUGCAUGGUUGACUUCUGUGACUAUGAAUAUACAACUUAAGCCUCUUAUUGAAUGAUAGGUUGUGGAUUCACUCAGUAGUCAUCCUACUGUUCGGCCAAUGUCACAUCAACAACAAUCUCAUGCAUUUUCAUCCCAAGAGGUUCACCUUUCAAAGAAAGAGAAGAAGAAUAAGAAGAAACAGAAGAACUAACAAGGAAGAGGCUACCAAAAGCAAGUCUGCAGGAAAGGCAUAGCACCAGACUAUGAUCUCCGACAGCGAUUACACCGAGUUUGAAAACUUCUCAAAGUGGUUGGGAGUCUCCCAGUGAGAUUUUUCUGUCUUUGAGUUUUGUCUUGGUAUAAUAUCUUUAUCUAAUUGUUUUGUUUCAAGAGGAGUUAAUUUACUUUUUGUGGCAGUUUUGAGACAAGAUUUGAGUUUGGUGGGUUAUGUUUUAUGACAAGAUGGAUGGAUUUUUCAUUUUAGCAGAUCUGGAAUCAAAAUUUUACAAA